rnacentral:misc_RNA from 1 species
AAAUUCAAUGGCAUACGCCCCUCUUUCCUGAAAAUAAUCCGCCAUUGUAUGUAACUUCUUUUGGUGAUAAGACCAAAAAGAAAGAAUGGCACAAAAUAAUUAUUUUGGCUUUACACACGGUGGAACACAGUAUGGGGCUACAAGUGCAGCUGCUUAUCAAACUGGACAACCAGGAUAUGCAGUAACUCCAGCUGCAACUGCUGCAACAUAUACACAAAGACCAGCUGCUGCUCCAGCAACUGGAUAUGAAAGUUAUCAAGCUGCUGCGGCUGCUGCUGCCACAGGAACAACUUAUGCUGGUUUUGUUUCCCCCAUAGCUGCAAAUCCAGGAACAGUUGCACAAACAUAUGAUUAUGGAUAUGGACGUCCAGCACCAGCAGCAACAUAUGAUGCAACUAAAACAUAUUAUCAACAACAAGCAGCACCACCAGCAACAUAUGCAACAACUGAAACACAUUAUCAAGCUGCUAAACCAGCAUACAGUACAAAUGCAUAUGCUGGUGCACCAAGACAGGCAACAACAACUGGACAAGCUAAAACUUAUCAAGCAUCAAGCACAGCUUAUCCACAAUCAAAUCCAGCACAAAAUGCAUCAUAUUCAUCUGGUUAUACAGCACCUGCUGUACCUGCUGCUGCUCCACCAGCUGCUACAAAUAAGCCAGCAAGUACACCAUAUUCUGGAUAUGAUGCAGCGCUUUAUAGUGCAGCAACAAUGUACGUAGCUCAACAAAGUGCAAAUAGUAAUUCAACUAAUCAAAAAAGUGGAGGCUGGCAAGGCUAUGGACGUAAAAGUUUUGGACCUAGUGGAGGUGGUGGCGGUGGAGGAGGUGGAGGAGGCGGUGGUGGUCAAGGAGGAGGUGGCGGCGGUGGUGGAGGUGGUGGUGGCGGAGGAAUGAAAAGUAUGCGUUCAAAACAACCACCAAAACCUCAACAAUUACAUUACUGUGAUGUUUGUAAAAUAAGUUGUGCUGGACCACAAACUUAUCGUGAACAUCUUGAAGGACAAAAACAUAAAAAAAAAGAAGCAUCAUUAAAAGUACCACAACAACCACCAGCACGUGGAGCUGGUAAUUCAUUAAGAUGUGAAUUAUGUGAUGUAACAUGUACUGGUAAUGAUGCAUAUGCUGCUCAUAUACGUGGUGCUAAACAUCAAAAAGUUGUUAAAUUACAUACAAAACUUGGUAAACCAAUACCAAGUGCUGAUCCAACUGUAUUAAAUCCAAAACCAACAGCUGCUGUUAAAGUUGAGGCACCAACAACAGCAACAACAACAUCAGCACCAACAACAACUGGUACUACUAAUGCAACUGCAACUGGUGCUGUUAAAAAACCAGCAGUUAUAACAUCAGCACCUAAAAUAAAUUUCGUUGCUUCUGGUAAUUUAGGUACAGUUAAUCAAAAUCAAAGUCAACCAAUUGCUGAACAAAAAAUUGUAGAAGAAACAACAACAACAACAGUCAUUGAAGAAGUACAAGAAGAAACAAUUAAUGAUGAAAAAGAAAUACAACCAGUUGGACAAGAAUAUAUUGAAGAAAUGAAAUCAGAUGAUGGAAAAAUAAUAAGUUUUAAUUGUAAACUUUGUGAAUGUAGAUUUAAUGAUCCAAAUGCCAAAGAUAUGCAUAUGAAAGGACGUCGUCAUAGAUUUGCAUAUAAAAAAAAAGUAAAUCCAGAUUUAGUUGUUGAUCGAAAACCAAGUUUAAAACAACGUAAAAUGGAUGAAGAAAAAUUACGUAGACAACAUCGUGAAGAAUAUUCAAGAAGAAGAGAAGAUAUACAUUCAAUGGGUGGUCCAAUGGGACCAAUGGGUCCAAUGGUUGAUGAAGAAAUGUUACAUUGGGAAGAACGUCGUCGUUAUGAAGAAGAAUGUGAUUAUAUUGAUUGGCAUAGAAGAUAUGGUAGAGGACCAGCUGUACCACCAAUGUCUGGACCAUAUCCAAGACCAUUACCAAUGAUGAUGUAUCCAAAUUCACAAAGACGUCCAGAUUCAUCUGAUGAUAAACAUGUUGCUGCACAUCAUUCUGCUAUUUAUCCUAAAAGUGAAGAAUUACAAGCUGUUCGUAAUAUUGUAUCAAACACUGAAAAAGCAUUAAAAUUUGUAUCAGAUGCACUUGCUGAAGCUUAUAAAAAAAGUAUUACAACAACACCAGUAGUUACACCAGUUACCCCAGUGACUGUUAAUCCAACUGUUACACCAACACCAACAGCCACAGCAACAACCACAACAACAACACCAAAUUCAAUAACAACAAAUACUACUUCUACUGUUGAUACAAGUAAAAAAGAUGAUUUAAAUAAAAAAAAAACUGUCAAUUCAACACAAAAAGAAGAUGGUAGUGAUGGUGAAUUAUUUUCAUUUCAAAAAGAAAAAGAAGACACAAGAAUUUUACGUGGUGUUAUGAGAGUUGGUAAUCUUGCUAAAGAACUUUUACUAACUGGUGAUAAUCAUGUUUGUCUUGUUGUAUUGUGUCUUGAAAAACCAACAAAGGCUUUGUUAAAUAAAGUUGCUGAAAUAUUACCAGCUCAAUUAAAAAUUGUUGCACCUGAAGAGAGUUAUAAUAUUGGAAAACAUCCAGAAUCAGCAGCAAUAACAGUAUCUGGUGGUUCAAUAACAGUAAGCAUAACAUUGACAAGUCCAGUUAUGCGUGAAUCAUUAUCAAAAUCUCCAGCAUUAGCAGGCUAGAGCAAGUACACUACAAAGCUGUGUCAUGGUUAUUCGUAUAAUGCGAGAUUUAUGCAAUCGUGUUCCCACAUGGGCACCACUAAAUCCUUGGGCAUUGGAACUCCUCA